rnacentral:rRNA from 1 species
AUUGAACGCUGGCGGCAUGCUUUACACAUGCAAGUCGAACGGUAACAGGUUAAGCUGACGAGUGGCGAACGGGUGAGUAAUGCAUCGGAACGUGCCCGGUCGUGGGGGAUAACGCAACGAAAGCUGCGAUAAUACCGCAUACGAACUAAGGAUGAAAGCGGGGGACCGUAAGGCCUCGCACGAUCCGACCGGGCGAUGUCAGAUUAGGUAGUUGGUGGGGUAAAGGCUCACCAAGCCAACGAGCUGUAGCUGGUCUGAGAGGACGACGCAGCCACACUGGGACUGAGACACGGCCCAGACUCCUACGGGAGGCAGCAGUGGGGAAUUUUGGACAAUGGGCGAAAGCCUGAUCCAGCAAUGCCGCGUGCAGGAAGAAGGCCUUCGGGUUGUAAACUGCUUUUGUACGGAGCGAAGAGGUCUCCUCUAAUACAGGGGGCUCAUGACGGUACCGUAAGAAUAAGCACCGGCUAACUACGUGCCAGCCGCCGCAGUAA